UACGGAGGGUGCAAGCGUUAUCCGGAUUCACUGGGUUUAAAGGGUGCGUAGGCGGGUAGGUAAGUCAGUGGUGAAAUCUCCGAGCUUAACUCGGAAACUGCCAUUGAUACUAUCUAUCUUGAAUGUUCUGGAGGUGAGCGGAAUAUGUCAUGUAGCGGUGAAAUGCUUAGAUAUGACAUAGAACACCAAUUGCGUAGGCAGCUCACUACGGAAAUAUUGACGCUGAGGCACGAAAGCGUGAGGAUCAAACAGG
rnacentral:rRNA from 1 species